rnacentral:rRNA from 1 species
UACGUAGGUGGCGAGCGUUGUCCGGAUUUACUGGGCGUAAAGGGCGUGCAGGCGGUUUGUUAAGUGCAGGGUGAAAGCUCCCGGCUCAACUGGGAGAGGUCCUUGCAUACUGGCGAACUCGAGGGAGGCAGAGGAAAGUGGAAUUCCCGGUGUAGUGGUGAUAUGCGUAGAUAUCGGGAGGAACACCUGUGGCGAAGGCGGCUUUCUGGGCCUUACCUGACGCUGAGACGCGAAAGCGUGGGGGAGCGAAACCGG